GAUGUUGAACGUGAAGGAUAACGUUGCGUCAGCAACGGCCUGUAGGGCAAGGCGAAGCCGAGUCAUCCUGCACGACCCACCA
rnacentral:sRNA from 1 species